GCACCUGGCCAGCCGAGGCGGGGCGUCGGGGCUGGGGCCGGGAGCCUCGGAGGACGCAGGUCCGCCUCCCGCGAUGCCGAGGGUGCCCCCGGGGAGUCUGAGGAACCUGCAGCCCCGGCCUCGCCCCUGAGGUGUGGGAAGCCGAAGGUCCCGUUGAGUGUGGUUGGCCUUGACUCGGGCGUUGCACCGGCAUGAUCGCAUUAGCCUCACUGGUUAUGGGUAGCUGCUGCUGGGAGCGUGGUUACGGGUAGAGAAACUUAGACACAGAGCAGUUAGAGGCCCUAAAGUGACUCAGCUAGUAAGAAGCAGAGCUGGAGUUCAAACUCAGGCUGCAGAAGAUGUCAAUGUUACUUUUGAAGAUCAACAAAAGAUAAACAAAUUUGCACGGAAUACAAGUAGAAUCACAGAGCUGAAGGAAGAAAUAGAAGUAAAAAAGAAACAACUCCAAAACCUAGAAGAUGCUUGUGAUGACAUCAUGCUUGCAGAUGAUGACUGCUUAAUGAUACCUUAUCAAAUUGGUGAUGUCUUCAUUAGCCAUUCUCAAGAAGAAACGCAAGAAAUGUUAGAAGAAGCAAAGAAAAAUUUGCAAGAAGAAAUUGACGCCUUAGAAUCCAGAGUGGAAUCAAUUCAGCGGGUGUUAGCAGAUUUGAAAGUUCAGUUGUAUGCAAAAUUUGGGAGCAACAUAAACCUUGAAGCUGAUGAAAGUUAAACAUUUUAUAAUACUUUUUUUAUUUGUUUAAUAAACUUGAAUAUUGUUUAAAA
rnacentral:sRNA from 1 species